GACAGAGGAUGCAAGCGUUAUCCGGAAUGAUUGGGCGUAAAGCGUCUGUAGGUGGCUUUUUAAGUCCGCCGUCAAAUCCCAGGGCUCAACCCUGGACAGGCGGUGGAAACUACCAAGCUGGAGUACGGUAGGGGGCAGAGGGAAUUUCCGGUGGAGCGGUGAAAUGCGUGAGAGAUCGGGAGGAACACCAAAGGUGAAGGCACUCUGGCUGGGCCGCGACUGACACUGAGAGACGAAAGCGAGGGGAGCAAAUGGG
rnacentral:rRNA from 1 species